rnacentral:rRNA from 1 species
UUGUUGGGGUUGUAGGACACUCUAUACGGAGUUACAAAGGACGACAUUAGACGAAUCAUCUGGAAAGAUGAAUCAAAGAAGGUAAUAAUCCUGUAGUCGAAAAUGUUGUCUCUCUUGAGUGGAUCCUGAGUACGACGGAGCACGUGAAAUUCCGUCGGAAUCUGGGAGGACCAUCUCCUAAGGCUAAAUACUCUCUAGUGACCGAUAGUGAACCAGUACCGUGAGGGAAAGGUGAAAAGCACCCCGGAAGGGGAGUGAAAUAGAACCUGAAACCGUGUGCUUACAAGUAGUCAGAGCCCGUUAAUGGGUGAUGGCGUGCCUUUUGUAGAAUGAACCGGCGAGUUACGAUUUGAUGCAAGGUUAAGCAGUAAAUGUGGAGCCGUAGCGAAAGCGAGUCUGAAUAGGGCGUUUAGUAUUUGGUCGUAGACCCGAAACCAGGUGAUCUACCCUUGGUCAGGUUGAAGUUCAGGUAACACUGAAUGGAGGACCGAACCGACUUACGUUGAAAAGUGAGCGGAUGAACUGAGGGUAGCGGAGAAAUUCCAAUCGAACCUGGAGAUAGCUGGUUCUCUCCGAAAUAGCUUUAGGGCUAGCCUCAAGUGAUGAUUAUUGGAGGUAGAGCACUGUUUGGACGAGGGGCCCCUCUCGGGUUACCGAAUUCAGACAAACUCCGAAUGCCAAUUAAUUUAACUUGGGAGUCAGAACAUGGGUGAUAAGGUCCGUGUUCGAAAGGGAAACAGCCCAGACCACCAGCUAAGGUCCCAAAAUAUAUGUUAAGUGGAAAAGGAUGUGGCGUUGCCCAGACAACUAGGAUGUUGGCUUAGAAGCAGCCAUCAUUUAAAGAGUGCGUAAUAGCUCACUAGUCGAGUGACACUGCGCCGAAAAUGUACCGGGGCUAAACAUAUUACCGAAGCUGUGGAUUGUCCUUUGGACAAUGGUAGGAGAGCGUUCUAAGGGCGUUGAAGCAUGAUCGUAAGGACAUGUGGAGCGCUUAGAAGUGAGAAUGCCGGUGUGAGUAGCGAAAGACGGGUGAGAAUCCCGUCCACCGAUUGACUAAGGUUUCCAGAGGAAGGCUCGUCCGCUCUGGGUUAGUCGGGUCCUAAGCUGAGGCCGACAGGCGUAGGCGAUGGAUAACAGGUUGAUAUUCCUGUACCACCUAUAAUCGUUUUAAUCGAUGGGGGGACGCAGUAGGAUAGGCGAAGCGUGCGAUUGGAUUGCACGUCUAAGCAGUAAGGCUGAGUAUUAGGCAAAUCCGGUACUCGUUAAGGCUGAGCUGUGAUGGGGAGAAGACAUUGUGUCUUCGAGUCGUUGAUUUCACACUGCCGAGAAAAGCCUCUAGAUAGAAAAUAGGUGCCCGUACCGCAAACCGACACAGGUAGUCAAGAUGAGAAUUCUAAGGUGAGCGAGCGAACUCUCGUUAAGGAACUCGGCAAAAUGACCCCGUAACUUCGGGAGAAGGGGUGCUCUUUAGGGUUAACGCCCAGAAGAGCCGCAGUGAAUAGGCCCAAGCGACUGUUUAUCAAAAACACAGGUCUCUGCUAAACCGUAAGGUGAUGUAUAGGGGCUGACGCCUGCCCGGUGCUGGAAGGUUAAGAGGAGUGGUUAGCUUCUGCGAAGCUACGAAUCGAAGCCCCAGUAAACGGCGGCCGUAACUAUAACGGUCCUAAGGUAGCGAAAUUCCUUGUCGGGUAAGUUCCGACCCGCACGAAAGGCGUAACGAUUUGGGCACUGUCUCAACGAGAGACUCGGUGAAAUCAUAGUACCUGUGAAGAUGCAGGUUACCCGCGACAGGACGGAAAGACCCCGUGGAGCUUUACUGUAGCCUGAUAUUGAAAUUCGGCACAGCUUGUACAGGAUAGGUAGGAGCCUUUGAAACGUGAGCGCUAGCUUACGUGGAGGCGCUGGUGGG